rnacentral:hammerhead_ribozyme from 1 species
AUCCAGAUGACGAAUCCCAAAUAGGACGAAACGCGUGUCCUAGAU